GAAUUCCUAACAUAGAUCAUCUUUUUGAGGUUACUUUUAGUUUUUAGAGCGCUCAACAAACCGAUUACUCCCUUAGGUGAAUUCUAUAGUGUCAUGGGCAGAUUAAUAUCUGCACCCUCUUUUCAACCUAACCUACACCCGGGAAGUAUAUUACGGGCGAUUAAAAGAUUUUUCUGAAAUUCAAAAUGAUUGAUAGGAAAAAGUACGAAAUCGUACCAAAAUGGUAAAAAAUUUAUGGUUUCUUUAUGGAAGAACAACUCGAUAGCUUUAUAAUGAUUGAUACGUGGGUUUUCGUCUUCCACUAAAACGAGGUCACUAAUAGAACGGGGGUAGCGAAGCUAACCGGGGAUAUACGAGUCUACCGUAAGUUCUAAAAAAUUUUGCCAAGAAACCUUUGCUCUAAUACAUUGGUGUGUAUAGACAGACAUACUAUUGUUGUGUACAUUCAUAAGAACAUAAACUCAUACGCUUGGAAACAUUGUACAAAUGUGUUAGUGUUCCCAUCACUGCUCUUAAAACAAAAUCGAGCUUCGUGCUUAUAGCUCCCUUCGUUUUUUUACACCCAAAUAUCCCAAAAUUCCAAUAUUGUAGGUAAAACCCGGAAACGCAAUUUAAAUUUAAGACCCUUGUUUUCUUUUUAGAAUUUUUCGUAGAUUCUGAUAUCCAUAACCACCCAAGUUGUCAUGCAUGUGGGGUAGCGACCCUUGACAAGAUUCUUUGGUUUUUGAUGUUGUUGUAGAGUUUGGACUAAAAUGGAGAAUCUCAGUUGAUAACUUGGAACGCAUUUAUAUGAUACAAAUUAAUAUAUUUAUUAUAUUGUAAAUAAUUAAAAUUAUGUUGCUUUUCUUCGUCUUCAUAUCUUAGCACUACUCUCUUAGAUGAGAUUACAUUUAAAGUAUUCAAUGAUUAAUUUUUAAAUUAAAUAAUAAUAAAUUGAGAACUUAA
rnacentral:sRNA from 1 species